UACGAGGGGUGCAAGCGUUGCUCGGAAUUAUUGGGCGUAAAGGGUAGGUAGGUGGUCUUAUUUGUCAGGGGUGAAAGCCUUGGGCUUAACCCGAGAAGUGCCCCUGAAACGGUAAGACUAGAGUCUUGGAGAGGUGAGUGGAAUUCCCGGUGUAGCGGUGAAAUGCGUAGAGAUCGGGAGGGACACCAGAGGCGAAGGCGGCUCACUGGACAAGCACUGACACUCAACUACGAAAGCGUGGGGAGCAAACAGG
rnacentral:rRNA from 1 species